rnacentral:lncRNA from 1 species
UCAGAUCUCGACAUGACGACUAGAGGUACUUAAGAAAAGAUGCUUCUGUUUGCUUGCUGUGCCCAGUUGGAACACAAGCAGAGAGUGGCACGCGUCUAGUGCAUGGCCACAAUCACAAUGCCUGGAGUCCUUACUCCUUGUCCAAUUACUUUCUUAACCUCCUGAAAAUAAAAUCGGGAAGGAAGCAAGUCACUUCUAAAAACACACGAGAGGAUUUAUGGUCAAUAUGCGGGAGAUAAAAAUCAAAGGAGCCACUGCUGCACCUCUGCUUCUCCAUCAGUUUAAAAAGAGUGCAUACAAACAACAGAUCCGCCUGUGCAGAGGGGUUAGCCCGUCAAAAGGAGAUCAAAAGCACUUCUCUUUUUCAGAUUCGCUUGACUGCUUGGUUACUCCAAAGAGGAGAUGCCCCAUUCUCUCUGGAUCUGAGCCUCUUGCCUCCCUGUGUCUCAACCCUAUCAGGAAAUAUCCAUGCUUUGUCCUAAGCUGGAGACCAAAGUUAAGGGGGACAGCCUGAGACACUUGCCUUCAGGUAAGCAGUGGGUGUCAUCUUGCGGGACGCAGGAGCCUGUAGUGCAUAAGGGAACAAGUGCUGUGUCGGGAGCAGUCAAGUUGAAAGCACUAUUGACCUCAGAGUUUGCCCAAUAAAACACUUCCGUGGAGAGGCUUCCAUCAGUUUCCACCAGCUCCCAGUUUGAAACCCUUUCAAGGUCUGAUAAAGAAUCUGAUAGGGGCUCAGUUAGUGAAGUGCCUGCCUGCCUUCAGCUCAGGUCAUGAUCCCAGUGUCCUAGGAUAGAGCCCCACAUCAGGCUCCCUGCUCAGUGGGGGUCUGCUUCUCCCUCUCCCUCUGCCUGCUGCUCACCCUGCUUAUGUUCUCUCUCUCUCUCUCUCUCUCAAAUAAAAAAAAAUUAAAAAAAAGAAGAAAUUCCUCCUGAUAACCUUAAAAAAAGGAUCUGAUAAAGGCAGUGGAAUUAAAAUUUUAAUGAAUAUGAUUUACACGGUGUACUACCUCCACCCCUCCUCCACCCCCCA